AUUUGUCUGGUUAAUUCCGAUAACGAACGAGACCUUAACCUGCUAACUAGUUCUCAAUACUCUGUAUUCUGCAACUUCUUAGAGGGACUAUGUAAAUCAAUUACAUGGAAGUUUGAGGCAAUAACAGGUCAGUGAUGCCCUUAUAUGUCCUGGGCUGCACGCGUGCUACACUGAUGCAUACAACAAGUGCCUAGCCAGACAUGGUAUGGCAAUCUCGAAUAUGCAUCGUGAUGGGGAUAGAUCUUUGCAAUUAUAGAUCUUGAACGAGGAAUUCCUAGUAAGUGCAAGUCAUCAUCUUGCAUUGACUAUGUCCCUGCCCUUUGUACACACCGCCCGUCGCUCCUACCGAUACCGGGUGAUCCGGUGAACCUUUUGGACUCCGUAUGGGGGAAGAUAAGUUAACCAUAUCACCUAGAGGAAGGAGAAGUCGUAACAAGGUUUCCGUAGGUGAACCUGCRGAAGGAUCA
rnacentral:rRNA from 1 species